CUCUAAUAUUAUUUCAGAUUAUAUAUUUUACGGGAUAUAUACAGUAAAGUAUUAGAUAUUAAAGAGAUUUAUCCCUUCCUAAUGAAGGUAAACAAUAAAAGAUAAGAUAAAUGCUAGUAAAAUAUUGAAUGCAUUUA
rnacentral:ncRNA from 1 species